ensembl:lncRNA
UUUUUCUGGUUUCCUCAGAGAAAACACUAGACACAUGUAUUUAAGCACCAUAUGAAAACAGUAAAUGUCAUGAUCAUGUAUCAAUUGUGAAUUCUGGAAUAUUCUGCGAUAAUUGUUCACACUGAACCUUAUGUACUGAAAGUGAAGAAUGAGUCAAAUAAUACACGAGCAUCAUGACACCCCUGCAUCACAUUCAUUAUUUCCUCCCAAAUUGCAGAAUAGAGGCUAUGAUAAAGCAUGCUUUCAGGUUUUAUUUUUGUAACUUAUUUUUCUAGGAAAUACAGUAGCACAAUCAAUAAAUACUUAAAAUAAUAAUUAAAAUAAGAUUCACGUCGAUCCAAUGAAAACCCCUGGCCGAACAUCUAAUAUGCUCUUGGAAAUGUAAUUCCUUCUUUUAGUAGUAGCUAGAUGUUAGACAGACAGGCUGUAUCUGUCUAACCAAGGUCUAGUUCUGAGGUGAGCAGCGACUUGCUCAAGGGCAUUUUCUAUCGAAGGAAAAUGCAGUGAUGAAGUAUUGAGGUGUCACACAAAAGUGAUGAGUAGUGGGAGGAACAUCCAGGAUUAAGAAGUUCAGAAAAUCUAUUACUUUUAACCUCUUAGCAGGAGGCAGAGCGAGACAGUGUGAGAGAAACCAACGCAAGAUUUGAAGCCUGUAUAUUGCUUGAUCACAAAAAAAAAAAUUUUUUUUUUUUUUUAAAUCACAAAAAAAUCAGAAGAGUGAAAAUAAAUAAUGAUCCUCCCUUCUCAGUGUUGGGGAUACAACACUGAAAAUAGUUUACCAAGUUACCAAUUACUUUGCACUGGAAGAAAAUAAGCUACAGUUAUAGCUUACUUAAAUAAAGUUAUUUUGAAAAAUGUGUUAACUACAUCCAGACUACUACGUGAAAAAUUCUUAUAUCUAAAUCUGAAAUGUCAGACUACAAAUUGCAAGUUAGAUCACCCUGGCCCUAUUAAAACACCAAAUCACUUUCAAGUAGAGGUCGACCGAUUAUGAUUUUUCAACGCCGAUACCGAUAUUGGAGGACCAUAAAAGCCGGUGCCGAUUAUUGGAUAACCAAAAAAACGAUACCGAUUUAAAAAUCGGCCUCUUUUUAAAUGUAUUUGUAAUAAUGACAAUUACAACAAUACUGAAUGAACACUUAUUUUAACUUAAUAUAAUACAUCAAUAAAAUCUAUUUAGCCUCAAGUAAAUAAUGAAACAUGUUCAAUUUGGUUUAAAUAAAGCAAAAACAAAGUGUUGUAGAAGAAAGUAAAAGUGCAAUAUGUGCUAUGUAAGAAAGCUAACGUUUCAGUUCCUUGCUCAGAACAUAUGAAAGCUGGUGGUUCCUUUUAACAUGAGUCUUCAAUAUUCCCAGGUAAGAAGUUUUAGGUUGUAGUUAUAGGAAUUAUAGGACUAUUUCCCUCUAUCCCAUUUGUAUUUCAUUAACCUUUGACUAUUAGGUGUUCUUAUAGGCACUUUAGAAUUGCCAGUGUAAGAGUAUAGUUUCCUGUUGAUAGGCUUGAAGUCAUAAACAGCGCAAUGCUUGACACACAACGAAGAGCUGCUGGCAAAACGCACAAAAGUGCUGUUUGAAUGAACGCGCCUACUUCUGCCUACCACCGCUCAGUCAGAUACUUGUAUGCUCAGUCAGAUUAUAUGCAACGCAGGACACACUAGAUAAUAUCAACCAUGUGUAGUUAACUAGUGAUUAUGAUUGAUUGUUUUUUUAUAAGAUAAGUUUAAUGCUAGCUAGCAAAUUACCUUGGCUUACUGCAUCCGCGUAACAGGCAGUCUCCUUGUGGAGUGCAACGAGAGAGAGGCAGGUCGUUAUUGCGUUGGACUAGUUAACUAAGGUUGCAAGAUUGGAUCUCCCGAGCUGACAAGGUGAAAAUCUGUCGUUCUGCCCCUGAACGAGGCAGUUAACCCACCGUUCCUAGGCCAUCAUUGAAAAUAAGAAUGUGUUCUUAACUGACUUGCCUAGUUAAAUAAA